rnacentral:rRNA from 1 species
CCUGGUGGCUAUGUCGAGGUGUCUGAACCCGAUCCCAUCCCGAACUCGGUCGUUAAACGCCUACGAGCCAAUGGUACUAUGUCUCAAGACCUGGGAGAGUAGGUUGCUGCCAGGC